rnacentral:tRNA from 1 species
GCGGAUAUGGCGGAAUUGGCAGACGCGCAGGACUUAGAAUCCUGUGGGCAACCGUGCAGGUUCAACCCCUGUUAUCCGCACCA